rnacentral:rRNA from 1 species
CCCUGCCAUUUGUACACACCGCCCGUCGCUACUACCGAUUGAAUGGCUCAGUGAGGCCUUCGGACUGGCUCGAGGAGGUUGGCAACGACCACCUCAAGCCGGAAAGUUGGUCAAACUCGGUCAUUUAG